rnacentral:rRNA from 1 species
ACGCUCGACACCUACGGGAGGCGGCAGUGGGGAAUAUUGCACAAUGGGGGAAACCCGUGAUGCAGCGACGCCGCGUGGAGGAAGAAGGUCUUCGGAUUGUAAACUCCUGUUGUUGGGGAAAAAGAGGAUGGUACCCAACAAGGAAGUGACGGCUAACUACGUGACAGCAGCCGCGGUAAUCUGAGCGGGCUGGCAAGGC